GGGGCUAUGGCGCAGUUGGUAGCGCGCUUCCAUGGCAUGGAAGAGGUCACGAGUUCGAAUCUCGUUAGCUCCACAA
rnacentral:tRNA from 1 species